rnacentral:lncRNA from 1 species
AAAAGGUUAGAUAAGUAGGAUGAGAUGUUCAAGGAACAAGCUGAACAAGCAACAAGAUUGAAGGGAUGCUUCAUGCUAUCAUAUCCAGACUGCCACCCCCUUCUUAAACCUUAGUUUUUAAAACUUGUUACUUUCUUAGUUUAAGAUUUUAUCAUUUUUUAUUCUGUACCUCAUGCUUUUUUAAAUGAAAUGAAAUUAUGUUUGAUUUUUACUUUUUCUAUUUUCUUUCUUUUUAAUUGAUGACAAAGGGAGAUAAGAGUGAUAAGAUUUUGAUAUACCUGUUUUUG